CAAUUCAAGAUCAGGCAGUGGUGACC
rnacentral:piRNA from 1 species